UACGUAGGGUGCAAGCGUUGUCCGGAAUUAUUGGGCGUAAAGAGCUCGUAGGUGGCUUGUCACGUCGGGUGUGAAAUCCCAGGGCUUAACCCUGGGUCUGCAUUCGAUACGGGCUGGCUAGGGUCCUUCAGGGGAGACUGGAAUUCCUGGUGUAGCGGUGAAAUGCGCAGAUAUCAGGAAGAACACCCGUGGCGAAGGCGGCUCUCUGGGACGGUACUGACGCUGAGACGCGAAAGCGUGGGGAGCGAACAGG
rnacentral:rRNA from 1 species